AUUCGCCCUUAGAGUUUGAUCCUGGCUCAGGAUGAACGCUGGCGGCGUGCCUAACACAUGCAAGUCGAACGAAGCUUGACGGAUGAUUUCUUCGGAAUGAAACCUGAUAUGACUUAGUGGCGGACGGGUGAGUAACACGUGAGCAACCUGCCUUUCAGAGGGGGAUAACGGCUGGAAACGGUCGCUAAUACCGCAUGAUGUGUUCGGAUGGCAUCAUCUGAACAUCAAAGAUUUAUCGCUGAAAGAUGGGCUCGCGUCUGAUUAGAUAGUUGGUGGGGUAACGGCCUACCAAGUCUACGAUCAGUAGCCGGACUGAGAGGUUGAACGGCCACAUUGGGACUGAGAUACGGCCCAGACUCCUACGGGAGGCAGCAGUGGGGAAUAUUGCACAAUGGGGGAAACCCUGAUGCAGCAACGCCGCGUGAAGGAUGACGGUUUUCGGAUUGUAAACUUCUUUUCUUAGUGACGAAGACAGUGACGGUAGCUAAGGAAUAAGCAUCGGCUAACUACGUGCCAGCAGCCGCGGUAAUACGUAGGAUGCAAGCGUUAUCCGGAUUUACUGGGUGUAAAGGGAGCGCAGGCGGGACUGCAAGUUGGAUGUGAAAUACCGUGGCUUAACCACGGAACUGCAUCCAAAACUGUAGUUCUUGAGUGAAGUAGAGGCAAGCGGAAUUCCGAGUGUAGCGGUGAAAUGCGUAGAUAUUCGGAGGAACACCAGUGGCGAAGGCGGCUUGCUGGGCUUUAACUGACGCUGAGGCUCGAAAGUGUGGGGAGCAAACAGGAUUAGAUACCCUGGUAGUCCACACUGUAAACGAUGAUAGCUAGGUGUGGGGGGUCUGACCCCUUCCGUGCCGGAGUUAACGCAAUAAGCUAUCCACCUGGGGAGUACGACCGCAAGGUUGAAACUCAAAGGAAUUGACGG
rnacentral:rRNA from 1 species